UCCCUCUGGUGACAAUGCUGGUUUCCUGUUCCCCACAAUACGCUGCUCAUUUCGAAUCACCAGCAUUGUUGCAGGAGGGAGCAUAAACUGGUUACACUGCGAAUGUUUCUGAGUAAAAGUUUAUAAAAGGAAAAGUUUACACUCGUUGAUUUACCUAUGAUGUGGGAAUAAAAUUGAAAGCAAUUGGGAAUAUGUUGGGAAAAUUGGUGCGGUAAUUGGAAAACCCGGGAUGCAGCGAAGUAACAGGAAUGGGCUCCCCAACAUAGCGGACAUGGAGAGGAAACUACGGGAGGCCAAAGCUGAGAAAGAGCGUCUGCUGAGGGCCAGGGUUUUGAUCUUGCCCCCCAUCUUGGUGAGGAAGCCCUUGCACUUCCUGUUGCCGACGGUUACCGCGCUGCACGUCUCGACGCUGUGACCGGACGCCUCCAGGUGGGCCCUGAGGUCAAAGGUCGCACUGCUGAUGAGG